CACGUAGGGCGCGAGCGUUGUCCGGAAUUAUUGGGCGUAAAGAGCUCGUAGGCGGCCUGUUGCGUCCGCUGUGAAAGCCCGGGGCUUAACCCCGGGUCGGCAGUGGAUACGGGCAGGCUAGAGGUAGGUAGGGGAGAAUGGAAUUCCCGGUGUAGCGGUGAAAUGCGCAGAUAUCGGGAGGAACACCGGUGGCGAAGGCGGUGCUCUGGGCCGUACCUGACGCUGAGGAGCGAAGGCGUGGGGAGCGAACGGG
rnacentral:rRNA from 1 species